rnacentral:rRNA from 1 species
UACGUAGGGGGCAAGCGUUGUCCGGAUUUAUUGGGCGUAAAGAGCGUGUAGGCGGCCAUACAGGUCCGUUGUGAAAACUGGAGGCUUAACCUCCAGACGUCGAUGGAAACCGUAUGGCUAGAGUCCGGAAGAGGAGAGUGGAAUUCCUGGUGUAGCGGUGAAAUGCGCAGAUAUCAGGAAGAACACCCGUGGCGAAGGCGGCUCCUCUGGGACGGUACUGACGCUGAGACGCGAAAGCGUGGGGAGCGAACAGG